CGGGGGGACGGUCCGGCGCUCUGAGCGCGGGAGAGACGUUCCGGGGAGAGAAGUGGCCGGGGAGAGAAGGCCUCGAGGCGUCGCCCUGGGGCUCCUUCCCCAGGGCUGCCCCGGGCUGUGGGGAGCCAUGGGACGGGCUCUGCAGAGCUCUGGGACGGGCUGUGGAGAGACGGAGAACACCAUGGAGUGAAUUCACCCCGUUUGGAUUUGCAAGUUAAUUGUGAUGCAACAAAGACGUUUCCACACAUUGUUAAAUUAAACCCAAAUUAACAUUCCUGGGAGGAAUCCCUUCUGUACCUCUCUCUCUGGUGAUGUGUAAAACCACGGGGGAUUACGGAGCCGCAGCGAGGCACCACCACUUGUUACUUGGUGGCAGAAGUAAGUGGGACAUCUCGCAGUAAUAGAUUGAAAUCUUUUAAUGCUGCUUUGGCACGACCCAGAAGGCUCAGUGAGGGCAAGUCUUUUAUUAAUAGAACCUCUCCAAGUGCUCCUUUUCUCCCACGGAGUAGCCGGCGGAGUUAAAGAUCCUUGUUAAAAAACCACCGACGUGGUUACAAUUUAGGCAAAUGCAGUAAAAGUGAUC
rnacentral:lncRNA from 1 species